GGUAGCAGUUUUGAAUUCCACCUUCUGGCUGCUGGCCACGUGGUCUGUGAAGACACUUCGCUUCUUAGGGAUCUUGGUUCCCUUGUUUGCCAAGUGGAGCUGCAGCCCCGUCUCUUCCGGUCCUUUCUAAAGAGGUAUCCAUGUGUCUGCCCAUGCUGGGCAAACAGGAGGUUCCUAGUAAAACCCAGCAGCCUUUCCCUUCUCUGUCUUUUCAGUCCAGAUUCCUCCGUAUCUGUAAAAACCCCAGGAAUGGUGUGCAGUUUAGUAUCUUCAAAUAUUUUGUGGUGGAGAAACUGUCACAAGUAUAAGAAGUACUACACAUCUCCUUUCUGGCCUGAGGCUUUCCAUUUUGUCAUACAAUGCAGGACUGAUGACUUCCAGGUCUCCAAUGGUAGCUCUUGAUUUCUGAUUUGUUUUUUCAUGUCAUCCUCAUCUAUUGGUGAGCUCAGUAUGAAGUAGCCUGCCACACCGUGUCUCUGCUGAAACUCCAAAUUCCAGGCAUUGUCUGACAUAAUGGUCCCUUGGGCAACUAUCUGCAGAGCAAGUGUGCUUUAGACCCCCAGCGGAGCUGCUCCGGUCGGUGGGGGAUGAAGACCACGUCUCCAGUAAAUCGCAGCGAUUAUUCUCCUGCGUUCUGUGUGUUACUACGGAGAAGUGGAUCUUGGGUUGCCAUCGCCUUGGUCAGACUUCUGGCAGGGAGGCGGCUCCUCCACUCUGUACUCUACCAGACCAGACAUCACAAGUCAACCACUGCAUUCUCCCCUACUGAUUCUUGCUACAGCCUGGGAACUCCUUGGCAGACUUCCAACAUCCACUAUCAAGCUGGCUCCAGAUGCGGCUCACCAUGUUUCCGGAUCAGGACAGUCACGGUGCUCCAGCCAACCUGUAAUAGGCUCUCCUCACAGUGCUCUGAGCAUCAAGAGGCACUGAGUGCGUAACUGAACCCACAAACCAACUCAACGCCCGCAGGAUGGUUACAGAGUGCAACAAGGGGGUUGUUUGUUAGAGGCUGCUCACCCUAAAUCCCAAGGCUCCUUACAGCCUCUUGCAGGGUGGCUGAGAGGAAGGAGGCAAAGGACCAGAGCCGUGCACGUUGGAGAGACAUCUCUGCCCCUUGCAGCUCCCCUCGCUGCCAACACGCAGUACUGGUAGGGGCUGGGGGCCGCCUGGGCCUGAGCUGAAGUCAUGCAGUUCUACUUGGAGCUUCCAGGGCAGUGGCGCCAGUGUGGUGUCUGCCGUUAAUUUCAGACCAGUCUCCCCCGGGCCAUGGUUCUGGGUCUUCGGGCCUGGCCAGGCCCCAAACUUGGCUCCUCAUGAGUAACGCUGGUGGUGCCCCAGAUCCCCCCCCGGCUCUCAGAUGGGCCCCACGUCAUGGCAGGCAGCCUGUGGAGAACAUAAGCUCUGAGAUGACUCACCAGCCCAUCCCUCAAGACAGGGAUGGAAAAAGCCCAAAGGGAAAAAAAGAUGAGCAUUUGUCUGCUGUGAAGUUGGUAGGACUUAAAAUAGUCAUCAAAAUAUACUCAUUGGCAAUAAAAUUAGAGCUGAAUCAGAUCUAAUUAGACUUGUGUGAGACUGGUGGAUGGCUAAUCACACUUAAUUGGUUACCCCUGAAUGCAGUGUGUGCCUCUGUCUCAGCACACAACAGAGCCGUCACGUUCACGAGCACUGUGCUGGUGCCGGCCUUCUCCAAUGUGGACACCAGGACACGGACACAACACUGGGCGUGCUUAGGACAGGGCAUCAAACCUGAAUGACGUCAGUAAGCAAGGUGGGAUUCCAAAUAUCCAAGUGAGCUGUAAGGGUCAGCUAAGGUGAGGGAGCUGCAGUGAGCCGUGACUGGGGGGCUGGUGAGCAGGGCUGAGGGGGUUAAUCUUUGAAUUCAUCGUUUUUUGUUUUUGUUUCUUUUGGCAGCAUUUUGGGGAUGGUGGGGUUGAACCCAGCACCUGCACUUGCCAGGCAAGCAUUCUGCUCAGCUACAUCCCCAGCCCUGAACUGAUAUCGUCCAUUUCUUGGCCAUCCAAAAAACUCAUCUGCAAGCUAAAUUUCGCCAGUUCAGAGGCCUUUACAACCCUUGAUUCAGAGACUUUCUAUAAGUGAAUUUAGACUCUAAAAAUAUGCACCACUGUCCGGCAGGGAUGGGUUAUUUUCCUUAUUGUCUCUUCCCUGUAUUCUUCUUAUCCCAUCAAUAUGAAGAGGGGCUUCAGAGAUUCAGGACCUCAGCAAAUUCAUUAGCUACAGAAGGAGAGCCAGGUGGGGACAAUAUUGGACAUGCA
rnacentral:lncRNA from 1 species